rnacentral:lncRNA from 1 species
CUAUCAAGCGUCUCACUGUCCUUGAUUUCCUGACAAGAUUCGCUGAGAUUAAAACUUGGACUACCAUUUAAAAGGAUUUUACCCCUGUCCAAUGAGCGUGUACCACCAUCAAAUGACUUUGAUGUCCCUUUUGCAUGCUUCAACAUUGUACUAGUGCUAGAUGAUCUCAGCUGAAAUGAUGGCGAUCUCCUAGGUAAAAAUCCAUUUGAUGUCAAUUUGGAGAUGUUAUCAGCUCCGCCAAGUGAUUGACGACGUGACACACCAAUGCUUGCACUUCUUCCAUCUAAUAUGUUGCGGCUGCUAGUGUUUGGUGAUCUCAGAGUCUCUUCCAGUACUUUCAGACGCAGUUGAUAUUUUUCCUGAAAGUCAUGAAAUAAAUUUAGAUUCCGAAAAGGUCUACAAAUAAACAGUUCUGAAUAAUAAUAAAUUCAAACCAAAUUAUUACUUUUAACUGUGCUUCGGAUCUUACAGCUCGCUCAGUUAUAGUGAGCUUGUCCCGUAGUUGCUGCAUCUCUCCCUGUGAGAAGAGCAAACUUUUAUAGCAGACAGAAAAAGUAACUUGGUAUUCAAAAGUUUUGAAGUGAGAAAAGCUAUCAUGCCUGCAGGAAUCUUCUUUCUUCAAGCCAUUGUUUUACAGGCAUCACUUUGUCAUUAGCAUCUUUCCAUUCAUUAGCUACAACCACUGCCACCCUGUUAGCAGUUACUUUCGCACGAGCCAACUCUCUGUCAAGAGUUUUUCUUUCCUCCUGUGAAAUUAAGAACCAAAUUUUAGUGUUGAGUUAUUGAGUAUCAGUUACUCAGACGGUGCAUUGGUGAAGAAUGUGUUUAGGAAAAGUCGAUAGCUAUUUAUAUUUAUAUAUUACAUUCAUCUCUUGAACUUUUCGUUGAUAAUCCCUCACAGCAUUUGCAGCAGCGCCGCCUGAAAGAACCGCUUCUUCAAGCUCACGGACAGUCUGGGUGAGCUUUUCAACUUCAGCAACUUUCUGGCGGUGCAUUUUAUCCAAAAUUUUAUUCUCUUCCUAAUGCGCACAAGAAGCAAACAAAAACCCGUAUUCAAAAAUUUCAGAUCGCACAACCAUUAUAGAAGAAACUUUGGCAAUCUUCAGAAGAGAAAGAGCAUCACAGCUACAAUACCUGGCAAAUUUCUAUCUGCUUCAUUAAUUCUUGGUUUUUAUUUUGAAGAUCAUCCACCAUAGAAGCCUUCGCCAAUGCAACUUGCACAGUCCUCUCAGCUUCAAGUAAAGCAGCCUCUUUUGAUUUGGUGAGGCGAUCCAAUGCUUUGUUGUCAUCCUGGAGCUUUGCAAUCUGGAAAGCGCAAUGGUAAUAAAAUCAAUUUGUGAUACCUACUCUACCAUCUGCAUAAAACUACACUAUAUUCUGUUUUCAGUAACCUAAUAACCAUUAGAUGUUUAGAGAUUAUACCUCCUGACGAGCAAGCUUGAGCUCUGCUUCCAGGGGUGCAAGGAUGGCUUCGAUUGGGGGCAUAUCAUCAUCUUUUUGAGCAGCAUGAACCCUUCGAAGAGUGGCUUCUGCUGCAAACUGCGCGGCCAUGGAGGCCUUCUUCUCAUCAUUGAUUUUCUUAAUUUCUAGAUUCUGCCAAGAAAGAGGUAUCUCACUACAUUUAGAUUUUGUGAUUGGAAAUGAAAAAUUAAUUAUAUGAUAGGUGAGCUCCAGUCAAUACUUUGCUUUCAAGAAGAGAUUCCGUUAACUUGAGCUUUUCAUCCACCUUUUCCAAUUCUUCAGUUAGCUAUGUUACAAAGGGAAGUAAGAAAAAUCAGGCAAGAUUUAAUUCGAAUAUCAUACGACUCUAAAUAACAUUUGAGUAGGGGAAAAGACAAUAGCACUUAUUCUUCUUCUUCUUCUUCUUUUGAUUAGGCAAAGACAAAAUAUACAGACAAAAAAUUGCUAUAUAACCCCCAUAUAAAUCCCAAAAUCAGAAAUUUACCACGACUAAAGCUAUUUUUUCAAUUUUGCUAAUUCAAGGUAUAUAUCUUCUUAAAAUGUGCUAAUGCAAUUUCAAAAUAUUCAUCUCAACAUUGCAUCCUUUAAAUAUGAGUAAUGCCAUAAAUGCCGACAGGCUGGACACAGCUUGGGCUGAGUAGAGACCGUGGCAGAUACGCUAUGUAAAUCAACUUACAGGAUAACAUUUGACAUCUACUUAAGGCCCAGAAAAAGUCAGCACACUAAUCAUUUCAGUUUAAAUAUUAAUAGCAAAUGAUAGAAAUAUGCCAAGAAAAAAAAAUAUUAGAGUUAUCUGAACCAUAACAUGCUUGUCAUCAAAACUAUGUCCAUUAGGAUUCUAGGACACAAAUAGCAUACAGCCAUACAAUAAUCAAGUUAAGGAACCCUGUAACCAACAGUUUCUGAAGCAUUUAACUAUACAUUUAAGACUUCCAAUAGAAUGACUUGUAUCAGUCAAAAACCGCAGGAAAAUAGGAGCAAAUGCAUUGAGAAACCAUACUACAAUGGUCCAGAUCAUACCAUCAAUUAUUAAGUAACCAAUUCUUAAUAAAUACUCCCUCCGUUCCUAAAAGAUUGUCGUUUUAGAAGAAAAAUUUUGUUCCAAAAAGUUUGUCGUUUACAACUUUUAAGGAGAAUAAAUUAUUUACUUUCCUAUAUUACCCCUACCUUCUCUCAUUGUCCCAAGAAAUUAUCUCCCUUGUAUUAAUAGUUUUCAACUUCUCAUAAAAUGGUAGUGAUGGAAUUUCAAACAAAUUUUACUUGGUAAAUGAUACUUUCUUAAUCCAUGUGUCAAAACCUUAAACAACAAUCUCUUAGGAACGGAGGUAGGUAAUAAGUAGAAUCCAAAUCCCAUUACUGCUUCAUUUAUUUUCUAUUUUUAUGAAAAAUACCAUUACUGCUUCAUUUAUUUUCUAUUUUUAUGAAAAAUCCCAUUACUGCUUCAUUAAAAAAUUCCGGGAAAAAAAUCGUAGUUGCUAUCUUCAAAAGUAUGCCCCAGAAUCAAUAGGCACGAAGUUCGUGAUAAAAUAAAGAGAAAAAAAAAACUAGUCCUUUACAUCGAAAGACAGAUGAACCAAUAGCAAGAUAUUAGCCCUCACAAAUCAAAACAGUAACCUAACAAACAUAUAGAAGAAAGAUAGGUAAUAAUCAACAGAGAAUAUCUAGAGAAAGUAACAGACUUCAUAUGAAAAUUCACAGUAUAGACAACCGUCUAUUAAUUGGAAUGAGUUACUUAAGAGAGCAUCAAAACAGAGACAACUACAUAUACAUUAUAAUUCGAGUUCUAGCCCCUGAAGGAAAAAAGGCAAGUAUUUUAAUAUAAAUAUAUAGAGGACUUCUACAUGCCAAAUAUUAAUACCUAAAUUUAUGUAGAAAAAUUCACAGCUUGUGGUGGCAUAGCAGCUAACUAAGAUCAAAGUUCGAAACUGAACAGAACCUAAGCUGCUCAAUUUCACCUUUUAUUUGAAUAGGGCAUGAAUACCAAUUGUCAAAGUACUGAAAGAACACUGCAACAGUUGAAUUCCAUAAUUUGAUAGAGCGAAAUUUGGUAUUAAGAUUUUCUUUAAGAAAAAAGAAAAAGAAGUUCAUUUUAAAACAAUUUAAUUUUUUGUUCUUAGUUCGUGGGAGAACACCAAUAAAAAUCCGAUCUUUACAGUUUCAAAACGCUGCGACAAACAUGUAAUAAUAUCACAUUAGCUUGAAAACCUCUUCAACGGCUUUUUCACGAAGGCGUUCCGACAACUUAAGCGCCUUGAUCUCCGCUUGUGCUUCGCCCAAUUCUCGAUCCUUGUCUACAAAAAAAAAAAAGCGCCGCAGGUAACAAUAAUCAAAUCAAAAUCAGAACAAAGCACCAAAAAUCUCUAACGGAUCAGCACGCAUUCUUCACCUCUGACUUCAUUCUCCAACCGAUUGAGCUCCACUUUCACCGGAUCCGACCCGUGCAUCAAAUUUAAGAAGUCAUCCGCGUCCAAACUCGGUGGCCUCAACGGAGCUCGCCUCCUCGAAUUGCUCCUUCCUUCUCUAAAAGAUGCCGACACCAUCAAUGGCGUCGGCGUCGCCUCACUCAUCAGCAGCCGUGCAUUGCCGCCAUUAUCACCGGCAUACAGCUGUGGAACCGCCGACAGUCCACCCUCGUCGCCGGAAACGUCCGCCAUCUCGGAUCUGAACUCUUUAUCUCACAUCAAAAUACUUAAAACCUACUCCUAACACAAUCUAUAGGACUCCGACUUAAUAUAUCCUUAUGAAAAGAAAUACAGAUAGACAGAGAGAUGAAUUCACUUGGAAGAUUCAAAAUGCAGUGUUUGUUUCUCUCUCUCUCUAGAAUGCUUUUUAAAUCUGAAUCGUCGUCGUGUCGCUAAGAUUUUGGGUUUCUCUCUGGAAAUGUGGGUUUACAGAGGAGAGAGAAAGAGGGGAGUGUGAUUUAUGAGUAAUAAAAUAAUAGUAGUACUGUGUUAGCAGGGAAGCUUUGCUGUUUAGCAGACAUUACGGUGUGAGAGCCUGAGAAGGGAGGAGUCUAUUUACUAGUAGUACAAGUAGUAAAUUAUUAGGACUUCUCCUUUUCGUUAAUUAGGAUUUAGGACUUAGGAGUGUUUAAGUUUGUUAUGCACACUGAGCAUACUCAAAGCAAGCCCACCUUGGUGCGUAUUGCGCACACUCUAGUGAAAGGGGAAGUGUUCUUUCUCAUAAAAAAAAAAAGAAGUAGUAACUGCAAAAGUUUCCCUUAAAGUUUAACAAAAUUCUAUUCUUAGCCUCAAAGUAUCAACUUUCUCAAUUAUACUCUCAAGUUUAAAUUUUUUUACUUAACUACUACUCUAUUUUAACAUAUUGGUGAAAUUAUAAAUCAAAAUUCUUCACAUACAUGCUUGAAAUGAUUCGUAAUUAUGUUAUUUAUGCUUCAUAUAUCAUAUUGGUGAAAUUAUACUCAUGAUUUAUAUAAUUGACUACAUAUUUGUAAGAAUUUUAAACUUGAAACAACUUUUGGGGCUAAAAGUAAAAUUUUAUAUAUCUUUGAGCGACACUUUUAGAGAAAAGGAAAGUUCAUGCGCGCGUUGCGUCUAUACGCGAGAUACUGCUUGGAGAAUCCGUUAGCAUGAAAUUAUUUUUUUGGUAAGUUAGUCAAUUGACCAAUAGAAUACUGACACACAUACAAUCUUACUUGUGUGUCAGUAUUAUAUCGGUCAAUUGACCAACUUAUCUCAAAAUAAACUUUAUAUUAACCACUUUUCUGCUUGGAACAUCCAACCAAGGUUUGAACAAAUAAAUAAAGGCAACUUAAUUCAUCUUUGAAACAGUAGUAUAACUUUCUCAUGGCUCAUGAAUGUAUGCCAACUAGUAAAAUUUUCAUAUAUUUAUAGCUAAUUAUUGUACCUUAGAUAAAGUCAGGCUGACGUGAAUGUGUACAACAGUAGUUAAUCGCAAGCUGAACGUUAGUAGAACAUAGUAGUAGUAAUUUUUUUUUCUAUAAUAAACUUAAUUUCUAAAAGGGGGAGAAAAUGCAAAUAUUUUUAAUUUUUUUCCCUCUAGAUUAUGACAUUAAUUAAUACUAGAUCAAAAGAUCCACUGACAUUGUUGUUAUAUAUAUAUAAUCAAUUAUUCGAUUGUACAUUGUUAACGCCAAGAUCUUCUGUCACGUCCCAAUCACGUAAGACGCCCUGAUCCUGCACAGUAAACACGGUAAACACCACAAGCUUGACAGCUGUUCCGUCGGGGGAUAGCUCAGGCGUGAGAGUCAGUAUAUGUGUUCACAAGGUUAACAAUGGAGGAAUGUAAUGUCUAGUGUCUAGAGAGAGAUCAUAAUUCCAUGUUGUGUGUAUGUGAGAAUAUGAAUAUGAAAGUGUAUGAGAACGUACCUCUUUGUGAAGACUUCCUUGCUAGGUUAUACUCUUUUUGCCUGGAUUACUGUGCCACCCACUACCAUCUGACACAGCCCCCUGAUCCCAUCAACGUUAAUGCAUGGCAGGAAUUUUGGUCAACCGUCAUGCUUUUUCAUCAUUGCAAGUCAAAGCAAUAGAUAUUAAAAUGUCUAAUGGGUCGAUCCACUGAACCGACCCGGUCUUAUAGGUUAAAAAUGGAAAUAAUAUGGUGACUGGGCCCAGUGACUUUCACAGUUCAAUAAUAAAGGCCGAAUAGAUUAAUUAAAUAAGUAAGCCCAAUUUACCCGGCCCAAAGAGAGGAAAUAUGUAAGACCCCGAAAUUUUUUUAAAUAAAAAGGAAUUUCCUUUAUUUAUUAUUUUGAAAUAGUAAGGGUGGAUUUGAUUAAUGUGGUUAGUUAUGGGUAAAAUGCGCAAAUAUUUUAAAUAAGCAAGUGGUGAUAUAAUAUUCAUUAUUGUCGGAGAAUAUUCGUUUGGUCGUGGAAUAUUCGUACUGUCGGGGAAUAUUCGUACGACGGCGCAGCCAUGUGUGGGCCCCAUAACGGAAAGCGAUUGGAGGAAGAAAACGACAAAAAUAAGUUGUUUAAAAAUAACGGCGUAGUUGUUACCGUUUACACUGUUGGAAUACCCGGUGGUUAAAACACAGUAAUACGCGUUAUUGCACAGUAGCACACGGUAUUGCACCAAUUAUUGAUUCUUACGUAAGAAGGCACUACUCAAUAAUGGUUACAGUAAUUACUGUUCAGUAUUUUAUUUUAUUGAUUCAAUAAUUGCUGCGUUGAUAUUUUAUAUUGCUGUUGUUUCAAUAAUUGUCAUUACACAGUAUUUUUCAUUAUCGAAGCAAUAAUUCAUAUUAUCUGAAUAAUAUUAUUAGAUAACAUUAUUGGCAAUGUCUAGAAAGUUCUGUCUAAGGAGAGGUUUGGUCACCUAAUUGCGCGCCAGUAAGGAGAAAUUCUUAUUGGAAAGCCCCCUCUUUCCUGGGAACUGCCUGGUUGUCAAUAUUGUGAUUCUGUAAUAUUAUUUGUGAAUAAUUAAUUAUUGAUUCAUAUGAUGAGGAAAAUAUUGAUUUUAUGUGGAUAUAGAUGGAGAAAAUUUUUAAUGUGACAAUUGUUGAAAAUUGAAAUUUUAUCUUUUUCUGAUAAAAUAAUUCAUUUAAAUAUAUAUAUUAUUAUAUUUUAAUAAUAUAAUAAUGGUGAUAUUUUUACAACGAAUGUGGGAUAUAUGAGUAUACGAGGAGGAAGAGUAUUUUUGUUGCAAUAAAUGUUUAAAACAUGUUAAACAUGUCGGUGGACCCCAUUUAUUGACUGAAAUUUGAUUAUAGCCUCUAAAAUCACCCGUUUGUGGAUUUCGGUCAAUUUCUGUUUGGAAUUUGGAAAAACUUUCUUCUGCAAAGUUGUAGAGAAUUGAAUUUCCUAUAAAAACUCGCGAGAUUCGAAUUUUCUGAUAAAAGGGCUAUUUAUUAUGAAUUAUUGAAGUUCCGAAGCUCCGAAAUAAUUGAUUUUUGGAAGUUUAAAAUAUUUUAAAUUAGAAAAACGUUUUUUUUAUUUUUUUCUAGAAGGUUGGCAUGUGUGAAUUGCUGAGAUUAAGAUUUCAAGGAAUACGUAUAAUAUUUUUAUAUAUAUUAAUAUUAUAUUAAAUUUUCUGCUUUGGUGUUCUAAGCAAUUUCCUAUAAAUAGGUGCUUAGGUUAGAAUUGAAAAUCACACCAGAAACUGAAGUUUUCUCUCUCUAUAUUAUCGAGCGUAUUCUUGUGAGUAUUUUGAGUAUACUUUGAGUAUUGCUAUACGGUGAAAGUUCAAGUUAUAGCCUAUAUCCAGUAUUCCAGUUAGAAGUACUGUCUUUCCGAGGUAAGGGAUAUUAUUUUUUUUCGUAAUGAUAUUAUUUCUUCAAUAUCAUUAUGCUGAAAUAUUGAUCUGAAGUUUUUAUCAAAUUUGGAACUUUUGGUGUCGGAGUUACUAUUCACGUAUACGGCACUAUUCACGUAUACGGUACUAUUCACGAAUACGGCACUAUUCAUCGAAAAAUGAAAAUUUUUCUUUUCGUCCAAAAUAUCUAUUGUGGAUACUAGCUUUGAUUGUAUCCAUGUUUUGAUCAUUCUUGAAUUUUACACCACUAUGAUUAUUUUUGAGGUAUUUUUGGACGUGGAUAAAACAAAGUACGAAUCCUUAAUCCUUAAUCCUUGUCAUUUUGUUUCACUGGAUUCGUUUCUUUAAAAAAAUUUUUCAUCAUCCUCAGUCUUAAAUGAUGAUAUUAUUGAAUAUCUUUGGCCUGUAGUGCAAAGAUGAAUGAUUUCUGAUGAAUAUCUUUGGCCCGUAGUGCAAAGAUGAACAGGUGUUUAGAUGAACAUGACCAACUGAUGAAUAUCUUUGGCCUGUAGUGCAAAGAUGAAUAUUUGAUUCCAGAUAUAUAUUGAUUGAUGUUACAGGGAUAAAAGAUAGACGAUGAACUUUUAAAUUCAUACAUAGAAGAUAGUAGUUUGCAUUCUCUACUUAACUCUUCUAAUGAAUUAUUAUUUCCGCUGCGAAUAUUGAUUUAAAACUUGUUGUCUAUUGUAUUCUAUUAGAUUUUUCCCUGUUGAAGACUAACGAUAAUUUGUUGUAUAUUAUCUUAGUCAUAAUAUUCUUUACUGGGCUAGUUGAGCUCACCCUUUUCCUUUUUGUUCCAUUUUUCUUCUCAGGAGGCGAGAAUAUAGCGAGUACGAGUCGGGGUAUGGAAUGAAGGUUCUAGAGAGAGUUGUUUAGUAGUCCUCACCAUUUUUGUAAAAUAAUGUAUCAAUAAAUGUGAUGAGGAUUUAUUUGAGUAUAGAUAUUGUCUAGAAGAUAAUAUUUGUAUUCAAACUCACAGUUUUACUGUUGUAAUAAUAAAGUUGUAGUUGUUUCUGUACCAUGUAUUGACAACUCAGAAUGGGUGAUGUAUACCUAUUUUGGGGGCGUCACAGUUGGUAUCAGAGCUUAGGGAUAUGAUCUCUGGCGGAGAUCGGGGAAUAGAACUAGGAGGGGAGAGACGAGUAAAUCCUUCGCUAGUGUGUCCUACCUAAGCUUAUUUGUUAGUUGGUCAGUAUAUAGGGAUAUUAUGUGAUAUAUUGAUUUCCUUAAUUAACCCUUGUUUUAUGACAGUAUUUGAGAAUGUCGACUGAGAAUAUUAACAGUGGAAAUGAGACCGUGGAGACGCCUGUACUCACCAACGAGGAGAACGUGCAACAGGCUGGCAAUGUUCCUCCUGUGAACAACACCACUGAGCAGAUGAUGAACGAGGGGAUGUUUAGAAGCUUUUUGCAGUUCAUGCAAAAUCAGACGAGGGAGACUCGUGUUCAAAAUACAGGAGGAAAUGAUAGCAAUUCACGGGUUGUCACAGCCAAGCAGUUCAAAGAGUUGGGACCACCAGAAUUUAAGGGAAAGCCAGAUCCGAUCAUGGCGGAAACAUGGGUCAAGCAAAUUACCAAGAUAUUCGAUGUCUUGGGAUGCACGGAGGAACAGAAGGUUCCAUUCGCCACCUUUAUGUUCCGUGGCGAGGCAGACUACUGGUGGGAGUCUGUGAAGCGUACCCAUCCAGCCGCACUCAGCAUGUCUUGGGAGACGUUUCAGAAACUAUUUAAUGACAAAUACUUUCCUGAAAGUGUUCGUCAUAUGAAGGAAGUGGAGUUUAUUAGACUGGAGCAGAACAACAUGACGGUGUCUCAGUACGAGGCGAAGUUUGCAGAGUUAUCCAGGUUUGCACCUCAUUUGGUGGAGAAUGAGGAACGUAUGACGCGGAUGUUUCUGAGAGGUUUGAAACCCGGCAUACGUCAGUAUCUCAUCUCUCAUAAAUUUUCUCUCUAUUCAGAUGUUGUUAACAGGGCUCAAUUGUUAGAGCGAGAUAACGAGUACGGUCAACCGAGGUACCACAAUCAGGAUCAUACCGGAGAUAGCAGUCAACAAAACAACAAUAACCAGUGGAGAAAGAAAAAGACGGACAAAAAUGGUAACCACUCUGGUGGUAAUCAUGGCCAUGAAAAUAGAAGAAGCGAGUCAGGAGGAGAUUUUAAAAAGAGGAGAUUCAACAACGACCAUGUGAAGACGACAGUGCCAGCAGCAACUGGUUCCAAGGGAGGAGAACGACCACCGGUCAUAUGCUAUAAAUGCGGGAAAGAGGGACAUAUCAGUCCAAACUGCCCACAACAGUUCCAGGUAUGCUAUAAUUGUGGAAAGGAAGGACAUAUCGCUCGAGAUUGCACGGUAGCGAAACCUAGUUCAGCGGGGACGGUGACUCAAAAGACUGUCCCAGAAAAGUCAAAGUCAACGGUUCCUGGAAGAGCGUUUGUUGUGACUGGUCAAAAUGCGAGGAACCCAAACGAGGUGAUCACGGGUAAGCUAUUUAUAAAUUCUUGUGAAGUUUAUACUUUACUAGAUACCGGUGCUACCCAUUCAUUUAUCUCUCCUGCUUGUGCUCAACGUUUAAACUUGACUCCGGAGAAAUUAGACUUUGACCUAUCUGUGGAAACUCCGUUAGGAGAAACUUUCAUCACAUCCACUGUUUAUAAAUCUUGUCUAAUCCAUGUUGGCACCCUUAUCUUACCUGUUGACCUUAUCUCUUUAAAGAUACUUGCUUUUGAUGUGAUUUUAGGGAUUGAUUGGUUAACUACUCAUCAUGCCAAAAUUGAUUGUUUUCGUAAGGUUGUUAGUUUUCAUAUUCCUAACCAACCUGUUGUACGAAUUCAAGCAACUAAACCAUUAAAAUCAAUCACUGUCAUAUCUAAUCAUAAAGCUAUUCGUUUAUUGAAAAACGGAUGUCAAGCUUUCUUAGCCCAUGUUAUGGAUUUGAAUAAAGACACGUCAAAUUUGAAUAAUAUUCCUGUUGUUAUUGACUUUCCUGACGUAUUUCCUGAAGAACUUCCCGGUCUACCCCCAGAACGUGAAGUUGAAUUCUUUAUUGACCUUGAACCUGGUACAAAGCCCAUUUCUAAAACCCCAUAUCGAAUGGCUCCUAUUGAACUUCAGGAGUUAAAGGUCCAACUACAGGAGUUGUUGGACAUCGGUUUCAUUCGUCCUAGUACAUCUCCUUGGGGUGCUCCUGUUUUAUUCGUAAAGAAGAAAGACGGGAGUAUGCGACUUUGUAUUGACUAUCGGGAAUUGAACCAUGUCACCAUCAAGAAUAGGUAUCCUCUACCUCGUAUUGAUGACUUGUUUGACCAGUUGCAAGGAGCACAAUUCUUUUCAAAAAUCGAUCUUCGUUCUGGAUAUCAUCAGCUGAAGAUUAGAACUGAGGAUAUUCCAAAGACUGCCUUUAGAACUCGGUACGGGCAUUAUGAAUUCUUAGUCAUGUCUUUUGGAUUGACUAAUGCUCCUGCGGCUUUCAUGGAUAUGAUGAACCGAGUAUUCAAGGAAUAUUUGGAUCAGUUCGUUGUUGUCUUUAUUGAUGACAUCCUCAUAUAUUCCAAAAGUCGUGAAGAUCAUGAGCACCAUUUGAAGCUGGUACUCCAAAGGCUUCGUGAAAACAAGCUAUAUGCCAAGUUGAAGAAAUGCGAGUUCUGGCUUGAGGAAGUAGCAUUCCUUGGGCACGUGGUGUCAAAACAUGGAGUAUCUGUUGACCCGGCGAAGAUUGAAGCAAUACAAAGUUGGGAGCAACCGAAGUCGGUGACCGAAGUACGUAGCUUUCUGGGCUUAGCUGGUUAUUAUCGGAGAUUCGUGGAAGGGUUUUCUCGAAUCGCUACUCCGUUAACUCAGCUGACUCGGAAGGAUACAAAAUUCGUUUGGAGCGAAGAAUGCGAGAAGAGUUUCCAAGAGCUUAAGAGGAGACUUAUUUCGGCACCUGUUCUAACAAUACCAUCUGGUUCGGAUGGAUUUGUUAUCUACAGCGAUGCUUCGGGCAAAGGGUUAGGAUGUGUUCUCAUGCAACGUGGGAAAGUCAUAGCCUAUGCCUCGCGACAACUUAAAGAAUAUGAGAGGAAUUAUCCUACUCAUGAUCUAGAGUUGGCAGCAGUCGUUUUCGCGCUAAAGAUCUGGAGGCACUAUCUAUAUGGGGAGAAAGUGGAGAUAUAUUCAGACCAUAAAAGCCUUAAAUAUUUCUUCACUCAAAAAGAACUCAACAUGCGGCAGCGACGUUGGCUCGAGCUAUUGAAAGACUACGACCACACUAUUCAAUACCAUCCUGGAAAAGCGAACGUGGUAGCUGACGCGUUGAGUAGAAGAUCAUAUGCAGGAACGAGUGCGAUGAUGUCAAGUAUACGCAUAGAGCCAACUUUAAUAGAAAAAGUUAAGGUUGCUCAAGCCACCGACCCGGAGCUGAUGCAUAUGAAGAAGAAAGUACAAGAAGGUGCUAUUCCGGAAGCGAGAAUUGAUGAAGAAGGAAUACUUCGAGUCCACUCCAGACUUUGUGUUCCUAACGAUUCUGAUUUGAAGUACAAGAUUAUGAUGGAGGCACACAAUACACCAUUUGCAAUCCAUCCGGGAAGUACUAAAAUGUAUCGUGAUCUUCGACAUACAUUUUGGUGGAACAAUAUGAAGAGAGAGAUUGCAAAGUUUAUCUCAACAUGUUUAACUUGUCAACGUGUAAAGGCGGAGCAUCAAGUGCCUAAGGGACCAUUGCAACCACUUGAGAUUCCGAAAUGGAAGUGGGAACACAUUACCAUGGAUUUCGUUACGGGUCUUCCCACGGUUUCUCAAGGCAUAAAUGCUAUUUGGGUUAUUGUUGAUAGAUUAACCAAGUCUGCUCAUUUCUUGCCGAUACGGGAGACUUAUUCCCUUGAACGUCUUGCUCAAAUGUACGUAAAUGAGAUUGUGAGAUUGCAUGGCAUGCCAGUAUCCAUAGUUUCGGAUCGUGACCCAAGAUUCACUUCAAGAUUUUGGGUUAGCUUGCAAAAAGCUAUGGGUACGGAUUUACGAUUCAGUUCGGCAUACCAUCCUCAAACGGACGGACAAUCAGAGAGGACUAUUCAAACUCUUGAAGAUUUAUUAAGACUCUGUGUCCUAGACUUCAAGGGCAGUUGGGAUAAGUAUUUACCAUUGGUGGAAUUCUCCUACAACAACAGUUAUCAGGCAAGUAUAGGUGUGGCUCCAUUCGAAGCAUUAUAUGGACGAAAGUGUCGCUCUCCAAUAUGUUGGGAUGAGGUGGGUGAAGCAACAUUGUUGGGACCCGAGUUAGUACGUAUGACUACCGAAAAGAUCCAAAUGAUUCGACAACGUAUACAAACGGCACAAGAUCGACAAAAGAGUUAUGCGGAUCUUCAUCGAAAGGACGUGGAAUUUAGUAUAGGGGAUCAUGUAUUGUUGCGAGUUGCUCCAUGGAAGGGAGUUACAAGAUUUGGGAAGAGAGGAAAGCUCAAUCCACGAUUUAUUGGUCCAUUUCAAAUUCUUGACCGAGUAGGAAAUGUAGCCUAUAGACUCGCGUUACCUCCAAGUAUGUCUCGUGUUCAUAAUGUGUUUCACAUAUCUGUACUUCGUAAAUAUGUGAAAGACCCGAACCACGUUAUUGAGUUAGAACCGGACGAGAUAGCCGAAGACUUAACGUAUGAGGAGGUACCUGUCAAGAUCUUGGAUAGGAAGGAGCAUGUCCUACGCACGAAGGUCAUACCACAAGUUAAAGUCUUGUGGAGGAACCAUGCUAUAGAGGAAAUGACCUGGGAGUUGGAAACGGAAAUGAAAGCGAGGUAUCCUCACCUUUUCGAAACACCAGGUACGUACGUCAAUUUCGAGGACGAAAUUUCAUAAGGAGGGGAGGUUGUAAGACCCCAAAUUAUUAAUAAAUGAAAUUUAAUUUCCUCUAAUUAUUAUUUUGAAAUAGUAAGGGUUGAUGUGAUUAAUGUGGAUAGUUAUGGGUAAAAUACGCAAAUAUUUCAAAAUAAGCAAGUGGUUAUAAAAUAUUCAUUGUUGUCGGGGAAUAUUCGUUUGGUCGUGGAAUAUUCGUACUGUCGGGGAAUAUUCGUACGACGGCGCAGCCAUGUGUGGGCCCCAUAACGAAAAGCGAUUGGAGGAAGAAAAUGACAAAUAUAAGUUGUUUAAAAAUAACGGCGUAGUUGUUACCGUUUACACUGUUGGAAUACCCGGUGGUUAAAACACAGUAAUACGCGUUGUUGCACAGUAGCACACGGUAUUGCACCAAUUAUUGACUCUUACGUAAGAAGGCACUACUCAAUAAUGGUUACAGUAAUUACUGUUCAGUAUUUUAUUUUAUUGAUUCAAUAAUUGCUGCGUUGAUAUUUUAUAUUGCUGUUGUUUCAAUAAUUGUCAUUACACAGUAUUUUUCAUUAUCGAAGCAAUAAUUCAUAUUAUCUGAAUAAUAUUAUUAGAUAACAUUAUUGGCAAUGUCUAGAAAGUUCUGUCUAAGGAGAGGUUUGGUCACCUAAUUGCGCGCCAGUAAGGAGAAAUUCUUAUUGGAAAGCCCCCUCUUUCCUGGGAACUGCCUGGUUGUCAAUAUUGUGAUUCUGUAAUAUUAUUUGUGAAUAAUUAAUUAUUGAUUCAUAUGAUGAGGAAAAUAUUGAUUUUAUGUGGAUAUAGAUGGAGAAAAUUUUUAAUGUGACAAUUGUUGAAAAUUGAAAUUUUAUCUUUUUCUGAUAAAAUAAUUCAUUUAAAUAUAUAUAUUAUUAUAUUUUAAUAAUAUAAUAAUGGUGAUAUUUUUACAACGAAUGUGGGAUAUAUGAGUAUACGAGGAGGAAGAGUAUUUUUGUUGCAAUAAAUGUUUAAAACAUGUUAAACAUGUCGGUGGACCCCAUUUAUUGACUGAAAUUUGAUUAUAGCCUCUAAAAUCGCCCGUUUGUGGAUUUCGGUCAAUUUCUGUUUGGAAUUUGGAAAAACUUUCUUCUGCAAAGUUGUAGAGAAUUGAAUUUCCUAUAAAAACUCGCGAGAUUCGAAUUUUCUGAUAAAAGGGCUAUUUAUUAUGAAUUAUUGAAGUUCCGAAGCUCCGAAAUAAUUGAUUUUUGGAAGUUUAAAAUAUUUUAAAUUAGAAAAACGUUUUUUUUAUUUUUUUCUAGAAGGUUGGCAUGUGUGAAUUGCUGAGAUUAAGAUUUCAAGGAAUACGUAUAAUAUUUUUAUAUAUAUUAAUAUUAUAUUAAAUUUUCUGCUUUGGUGUUCUAAGCAAUUUCCUAUAAAUAGGUGCUUAGGUUAGAAUUGAAAAUCACACCAGAAACUGAAGUUUUCUCUCUCUAUAUUAUCGAGCGUAUUCUUGUGAGUAUUUUGAGUAUACUUUGAGUAUUGCUAUACGGUGAAAGUUCAAGUUAUAGCCUAUAUCCAGUAUUCCAGUUAGAAGUACUGUCUUUCCGAGGUAAGGGAUAUUAUUUUUUUUCGUAAUGAUAUUAUUUCUUCAAUAUCAUUAUGCUGAAAUAUUGAUCUGAAGUUUUUAUCAAAUUUGGAACUUUUGGUGUCGGAGUUACUAUUCACGUAUACGGCACUAUUCACGUAUACGGUACUAUUCACGAAUACGGCACUAUUCAUCGAAAAAUGAAAAUUUUUCUUUUCGUCCAAAAUAUCUAUUGUGGAUACUAGCUUUGAUUGUAUCCAUGUUUUGAUCAUUCUUGAAUUUUACACCACUAUGAUUAUUUUUGAGGUAUUUUUGGACGUGGAUAAAACAAAGUACGAAUCCUUAAUCCUUAAUCCUUGUCAUUUUGUUUCACUGGAUUCGUUUCUUUAAAAAAAAAAUUUUCAUCAUCCUCAGUCUUAAAUGAUGAUAUUAUUGAAUAUCUUUGGCCUGUAGUGCAAAGAUGAAUGAUUUAUGAUGAAUAUCUUUGGCCUGUAGUGCAAAGAUGAAUGAUUUCUGAUGAAUAUCUUUGGCCCGUAGUGCAAAGAUGAACAGGUGUUUAGAUGAACAUGACCAACUGAUGAAUAUCUUUGGCCUGUAGUGCAAAGAUGAAUAUUUGAUUCCAGAUAUAUAUUGAUUGAUGUUACAGGGAUAAAAGAUAGACGAUGAACUUUUAAAUUCAUACAUAGAAGAUAGUAGUUUGCAUUCUCUACUUAACUCUUCUAAUGAAUUAUUAUUUCCGCUGCGAAUAUUGAUUUAAAACUUGUUGUCUAUUGUAUUCUAUUAUAUUUUUCCCUGUUGAAGACUAACGAUAAUUUGUUGUAUAUUAUCUUAGUCAUAAUAUUCUUUACUGGGCUAGUCGAGCUCACCCUUUUCCUUUUUGUUCCAUUUUUCUUCUCAGGAGGCGAGAAUAUAGCGAGUACGAGUCGGGGUAUGGAAUGAAAAUUCUAGGGAGAGUUGUUUAGUAGUCCUCACCAUUGUUGUAAAAUAAUGUAUCAAUAAUUAUGAUGGGGAUUUAUUUAGGUAUGUAUAUUGUCUAGAAGACAAUAAUUGUAUUUAAACUCACAGUAUAUAUGUUGUCGUAUUUUGCACGACAAAUGUAUUAAUAAAUUUGUAGUUAUUUCUGUACCAUAUAUUUGGCGACUCAGAAUGGGUUGGAUGGAAUGGACCUAUUUUGGGGGCGUCACAAAAUAUCAUGACCCAACAUUGCCCCCUAGUUUUUUGUUGAACAGAAUGUUUAAUAGAAAACUAUAAAUGGUCCAUAAUAAUUUACUAAAGGUCCAUAGUAAGAAAUAAUUGAAGUGUACCCAGUUGUUGUUCACGAGAUGAAAUGAGAGGAGAACGGAGGCCCAAAUCAGAAAGGCCCUGUCUAUUAAAUAUCUGGACCCGGAACCGGACACUUCUCAUUCAAAUUCUAAAUCAUUACUAACAUUUAAUGUGCCGGCCUUGAACACCGUGUAACCGUCGGUAUAAAAGAUAACUUUACCAAAUUUGACAGUUUUACCUGCCCAUUUGAAAUUCAAGCGCCUUUUGAAUUUUCUGCUCCUCUGAACUCUCUUUCUUCCUCUGCAAACCGUCAAAAAUGGCUUCCCAAGACUCUGAACAAGGUUCACCCAUACUGGUAACACCGAUCACCGUCGUUCCACUAAACCCUAACCCUCGCGAAGGGACUUCAACCUUGAAUCCCAAGGGGUCGAAAACCGACAAGAACCCUUCCCAAAAACUCCCAAAACCCCCUCCGAAUACUAUAGGAGCACGGAUCGCUUCUCGCAUGCCAAUACUCCCUCUAUCGUGACUGAGGCUGAGUUACAGAGGAUUCGAUCCCGGUACCACAUUCCGGAUACCCAUGCGGUUAGGGUUCCCAGAUCCGGCGAAAAGAUGUAUCAACGGCCAGAGGGUUGGACGGCCGUCCCUGUGACCUUACUCGAGAAGGGGGUUCGUUUCCCUCUGCACAUUUUUAUAGUGACUAUACUGGGGUUCUUGGGCGUGGGGUUCGCCCAAUUGGUACCAAACUCUUAUAUUCAUAUUUUGGCCUUCGUGGCCUUCUGCCAUGAGUUGGGCGUUGAGCCUUCCUUGGACUUCUUCUUCACCGUAUACAAGAUAGUCCAAUCUAGAGAGAAGGGGUUCAAGGCCCUUAGCAAACACUCCCCGAAGUCAGGAGAAAAGUUCGAGAGGCGUUCGCUGGUGAACACUCCUUCGAGCAAUAGGGGAUGGCACGAGAAGUGGUUCUACGUCAAAGGUCCCGAAGUUUCUUCUUUACCGAACUGGGCCACUGACGAGAAGAUCUCUGCUGACUUCGGAGACAUUUCUGACGAACGGGAAGUUGAAAUGAUGGAACUUUUCGACAAUUUCCCUAAGGAGGAGUGGAAGUAUGGACUCCUCUCGAAGCAGGCAUGGUUAUAUGACCAUAAAUGUAAGUAUCGGUCUAUUUUAUGUAUAUAAAUUUUUGAAAAUGCUUUUAUGAGGUGGAAUCUAACAUAGGACUGUUCGUUUUAUGCAGUAUCUUUGAUCAGACCGAGCUCCUUAGAAAUAAAGGAGUUUGAAGAUUUUUUGUCCGGGAAGUCUUCGGAAGCUGUUGAGAGUCUACCAACAGAGGCUACCCCCGAAGCCGAGCCAACCCCUGAAAUACAUACCGAUGAAGCCCAAACAGAAGAACCAGAAGCUGAUGAGGUUCACGUAUCGGAAGAGACCCUUCGUCCUCGUCAGAAGAGGAGGGCCACUAGAAAACCCAGAUCAACUCCUCUCCCUAGCCCUUCCGAAGCCACCCCAGAAAUUGAGCCAACCGCAACAUCAAUUCCUCGAAGAGGAGGCUUACUCGAUCGUCCUGAUCGAAGAAGUAUCCUUCGAACCAAAAAACUGAAAACCAAGAUAACGCCCCUGACCGCCGAAGAACUCAGGGUGCCACAGGCUUCGAUCAUCCCACCCUUCGUGCCGCCUGUAGAAAUACAAAUAGCCGAAGAAGGUGAGCAGGACGAAACGGUUCCAACGCUGUCCAGGAAGAGGAAACGUACACCUGACAGCCAUCCAAGUUCUGCUUCGGCCCCAUCUCCUCAGGAGCCGAUUCCCAACAAAUCUCCUUCUCCCGAGACUAUAUAUGCGGACCCUACUCCUCCUGAACAGCCAGCCCCUUCUCCCGAAAGAUCGAGACCUUCCCCCGAACGACCCGGUCCUUCAGGUCAGGGUUAUCAUGCUGAGGCUAUGGGGUCCCCGACUCUGUGGCCUAGAUUCAAUGCAAAUUUCCCAUUCGAUCUUUUCGGAGCUUUCGUCCGGAACGCUGACGACCAUCGGUUCAGUGACCAUACGGAUGGAAAUCUGCUUGACGAGGGGAUGAGCUAUCUGGCUAAGGUAAAUAACAGUUUCUUUAUUUUCUAUUUCUCUGUUCUUGUUUAGAUAUCUGAACACUGAUUUGAACACUGUUGAACAUAUGCAGGCCAAUGCUGUCUUCGGACGUUUGCGUCCGAGGCACAUAAAUGGGGAGGCCGAGGAAGAUUUCAUGAGACAGGAGAUCAACAUGCUGAGAUCGACCCUGGCUCGAGAAAGGGCCGAUCGCGAAGACGCUCUUCAUACCAUCGACGGCCUUCAAAGAGACUUAGAUCGGGCUAGGAUGGACUUGAAGACGUCUGACGACGAGCUAAGGGCCACGAGGGAUGGGCUGGCUGCGUCCGAAGCUAGCCAACAAGUUUUAACUAAUAUGAACGCCGGCCUAGUUGAAGAAAACCCACUCCUGAAGGCCAAAAAUGAGGAGUUUUCUUCUGCCAACCGAAGCUUGGCGAUUCAGCUCGGCGAGGCUCAGGCGAAGGCCCAUGAUGAAGAGCGAAGACAUAAGGCUAAGCGCCAUAAACUUCGUCACAAAAUAAAGGAGCUUGAGGGACGGGGUCCUUUUCUGACCGAAGAGCUGUGGAAGCAGAUUCAGGCGGACUACAGGGACUCGGACGAACUUAAUGACGAAAUCAUGAAGGUCUAUUCGAAGGGGUAUGAAGACUGCCGAGAGCAAGGUAAAGAAAAGCUAUCUGCCGCUCAGUUGGAUCCGGCCCUUCUUAACUCCGAGGACGAAGGUGGUGCCUGAAUGUCCCUCCUGCUUUUGUUCUAACUAUGUAAAACUUUAACUAUUUAAACUGUUUAUGUUUUUUGGGAUUGUUUUUGAGACUUCAUGCAUGGAUUUGACAUUGUAUCUAUAUUGGCGUAGUUAGUGUAUGAACGAAUUAAAUGAAUGAAUGUUCUAUUUUAUUGAUGAAUUUUAAAUUUUCUUGAUUGUACACUCUGCUUUGGUUAGUUUCUCGUCAAUAAUUCGGUAUCAAUGAACCGAACCCAAAUAGUGAAUCAGCUAAGGCAUAUAACGGUUAAUUUAUGAAAUGAAGUGAAUUGAAUUUUAUGGACAGAAUUUAACUUAACUGAAUUGAAUGGACUGAACUCAACACUUAAAUAAAAUAAAGUAAAAUAUACUCAUCGGUUCCGAAGUGUGAGAUCGGUCAUGUGUGAGGUGAAUUCGGCUGAUCCUCCUUGCACCAUUGUGAUCUUAGGACGAACAGGAUUAAGAUCAACAGUGACCAUUGACUUACCACCCUUGGUAAAGUCAAUAUAGGAUCAUAAGAACCUUUGUCUACCACUCGGGGUAGAACAACAAAUGGACUGCCAUCGAAUGGCCAGCGAGUCCUACCAUACCUCCUUACACCAUUGUGACCUUAGGACAAAUAGGACCAGGAUCAAUAGUGAAAAAGUGACUUUUUAUUGAUAAUGGACAAUCACAUACAGACUUCCGAUAAAUUGACUUGAUCUUUAUUGAAAGUAUUUCUGAAGCCUGCCAGCAUGCCAAGUGUUCGUGAUCUGGGAACCAUCUAAUGCCUUUAAUCGAUAAGUGCUCGGCUUUGAUACUUCGAUUACUUCAUACGGCCCUUCCCAGUUUGGCAUUAAUUUUCCCGUGUUUUGAGGUGUAGAAGCUUCGGCUUCUCUGAGGACGAAGUCUCGUACUUCGAAUCUGCGAAGUUUGACUCCUUUGUUGUAAUGUUUAGCUACUCUUCGUUGAUAAGCAGCCAAUUUGAGUAGAGCCACUUCUCUGACUUCUUCUAGUAGAUCCAAGUUGGCCUUCAGUCCUUCGUCAUUAUAGAUCUCUUUGAAUUGACUGACCCGAAGACUUGGAGAUCCAAUGUCGACUGGGACCAAGGCACCAAUACCGUAGGCCAGCCGAAAAGGUGAAUCCCCUGUGGUUAUCCUCGGCGUAGUCCGGUAAGCCCACAGCACGCUGAGCAGCUCUUCUGGCCAUCUUCCUUUAGCUUCAUCCAGUCUGCGCUUGAUCCCGUUCAGUAGCGUCCUGUUGGUCACCUCAACUUGCCCAUUUGACUGUGGGUGAGCCACCGAAGUCUUCUUAUGCUGAAUCCCCAGCUCCUUUAAAAAUCCUUCAAAUUUGGAUCCUACGAACUAACGUCCGUUGUCCGAUAUCACCACUCUAGGAAUUCCGAAGCGAAACACUACGGACUCUUUUAUGAAUUUCAAACACUCUUGUUCCGUUAUUAAUCGAAGUGGCUUCGCCUCCACCCAUUUGGUCAUGUAAUCAAUAGCAACUAUGACGAAGCUGACCUGACCUUUAGCUUUAGGCAACGGACCCAAUAUAUCUACCCCCCAGAGAGCGAAGGGAAGAGGAGAUAAAAUCGAAUAUAGCUCUUCCGGUGGCUGAUGUGGGAUCGGACUGUUGAGCUGGCAUUUUUCACAUCUCUUGACAUACUCUGUAGCUUCCUUGAAAAUUGUAGGCCAAUAGUAUCCUUGCCGAAGUACUUUAUAAGCCAAAGACUUGGCAGCCAUAUGAUCCCCGCAAAUACCCUCGUGAACUUCCCGAAGAGCAUACUUCGCCUCGGAUGGGACCAGGUACUUCAGCAAUGGUGAGGAAAAGGCCAAUCGAUAAAGAUCCCCAUCAAUAAGAACAAAAUUGACACUCUUGUACUUGACCUUCUUUGCCAAUAUCUGAUCUGAAGGAAGAACGCCCUCUGCCAAAUAUUCGAUGUAGGGAGUCAUCCAGCAGUUAGAUCGCUCGAUACACAUCACCGCUUCUUGCUGAACACUCGGCUGCUGCAAAACUUCCAAGUAAACCGAUCCAUUGAAAACAUCUGCAUCCGCAGUGGCCAGCUUCGAUAGUGCAUCGGCAAUGGAAUUGUCGCUACGCUCUAUGCCCUGAAACUCGUACGAAGCAAAAUACUGAAGUCGGUCUUUUAAUUCCGCCAGAUACUUGAUCAUCCGGGUCCCACGAGCUUCAUAAUCUCCCGACAGCUGUUUGACGACCAACUGAGAGUCACUGUAGAUGAUCAACUUCUGGACUUGUAGACUCUUUGCCAAUCGAACACCUGCUAACACUGCUUCGUACUCGGCUUCGUCGUUCGUCGCUUUAAACCCGAAUCUGAUGGCCUGCUGAACUUUGAACCCCUCUGGACUCGUCAAGAUAAUUCCUGCCCCACUAACAGUUACCGUAGAGGAUCCAUCUGCAUAUAACGUCCAAGCACUCUGACCCUGUUAAAGAACUACAACUGCUCGGUCAGACGAUUCAACCUCUGACAACUCGGCAUCUGCUUCGGUAAAUGAGCAUUCCACCAUAAAAUCGGCCAACGCCUGACCCUUGAUAGCGGUUCGAGGAUGGUAUUCGAUGAAAAAUUGGGACAGCUCCAUAGUCCAUGCUGCUAGUCUCCCUGAAACUUCUGGCUUGCCCAUCACCUUCUUCAAUGGUUGAUCCGUGUAGACGAUCAGGAGUCUACCUUGAAAAUAUUGUCGAAGCUUUCUACUAACAAUUAUUAAAGCAAAGGCAAAUUUCUCAAUAUUCGGGUACCUGGUUUCAGCAUCUCGUAAGACGUGACUGACAUAAUAGACCGGAUGUUGCUUUCCGUUGACCUCCCGAACCAGCACUGCUCCGACUGCCAACGAACUUGCUGCAAGGUAUAGAUAUAAAGUCUCUGCUGGGGCAGGCUUCACCAAUAAAGGAGCAGAAGAAAGAUAUGUCUUUAUGCCUUGGAAGGCGUCUUCACAUUCCGAAGUCCACUGAAACGUCUUCGCAUUCUUCGGCCCUUUCAAUGUGUCAAAGAAAGGAAGGCAUCUCUCCGCAGAUUUGGCGACGAACCUCCUUAAAGCUGCAAUCCUACCAGUCAGACGUUGGACGUCUUUGAACGACUGAGGAGUCUUCAUAUCAAGAAUGGCCUGGAUCUUCUCCGGAUUGGCCUCGAUGCCCCUCUGACUGACCAGAUAUCCCAAAAACUUUUCUGCACCGAGGCCGAAAGUACAUUUGGCCGGGUUGAGUCUCAGUUGACGAUGACGGACAGUCUGAAAGCAUUCCUCCAGAUCGUCCAAAUGCUUCUGAACCUGCAUGCUCUUCACGAUCAUAUCGUCUACAUAUACCUCCAUGUUCCUCCCUAGCUGCCUGUCGAAGAUGAAGUUCAUCAUUCUCUGGUAGGUGGCUCCCGCGUUUAUAAGGCCAAAAGUCAUCUUCCUGUAGGCGUACACCGAACGGUGUGUAAUGAACGCUGUCUUUGGAAUGUCCUCCUUACGCAUGGAUAUUUGAUGAUAACCUGAAAAAGCAUCCAUAAAGCUUAGUAAUGCAUGCCCCGAAGUGGUGUCGAUGAGCUGAUCGAUAUGGGGCAAAGGAUAAAAGUCCUUCGGACAAGCUUUAUUGAGAUCGGUGUAGUCGAUGCAAACCCGCCAUUUUCCAUUCUGCUUCUGCACCAACACCACAUUCACCACCCACUCGGGAUAAUCAAUUUCAUAGAUGAAGUCGGCAGCUAACAGCUUUGCAAUUUCCUCAUCAAUGAUCUUCUGUCGCUCGGGCGCAAAGAUCCGCCUUUUCUGCCGAACUGGCUUCUUCGAGGGAUCUACAUCCAGACUGUGCUCAGCUAUCUUCCGGCUAACUCCAGGCAUGUCAUGUGGUUCCUAUGCAAAGAUAUCAGCAUAGCAGCGUAAGAGUUCCAUAAGGUUUGUCCGAAGAGGCUCUAGUAGACCCGAACCGAUCUUCACAGUCUUGUCUGGCUUUACUAUGAUCAACUCGAUCUCCUCCGUCCCACCUGCAGGGAUCACUAACAGUUCCGAACUGCUCUCGGUGAAGGGUUCGAUCUUAAUCGCCAUCGUCUGUUUCUGCUUGUUGACCCCCACUCCGGAGGAAAUAACAGCAUUCCAAUAACAUCUUCGGGCCAGAUCUAAGUCCCCGCCACCUCUCCUACUCCAUGCGCCGUGGGGAAUUUGAUUUUGAAAUGAGGGAUGGAGGUCACAGCUUGGAGAACAGUCAAGGUAGGUCUCCCCAGUAUAGCGUUAUAAGCCGAGUCCACAUGCACAACAUAGAAUUUACACAUUAUUUCUACCAGCUGGGGUGCUGUGCCGAAGAUAACCGAAAGUUCAAUAGUGCCUGCAACUUUGACCGGAUCGUUGCUGAAGCCGUAUAAAGGAGCCUCCUGCCCGACCUCCAUUUUCUGCUCAUCAAGAUGCAUCCUCUGAUAGGCAUGGGCAUAUAAAAUAUCCACCGAAGACCCAUUGUCUAUCAUCAUGCGUUUCACGUCCACCGAGCCCACUUGCGCUGUGAUCACCAAGGCUCCCUUGUGUGGCUCGAUGGGCUCCGAAGGAUAAUCUGCGUCCGUAAAUGAUAUGACGGUUCCUGGGAAUGGUCUGUCAAUCUUCAGGGGAGCAUCUGUCACAGACAUGACCGAAUCCAGGUAAGCCCUUCUCUUCUUCCCUAUCAACUUCCCUAUAGAUCCACCGGUUAUUACAUCGAUGGCUUGCCUUGGCGGCUGUACUGGAGCAUUUUGGAUGGAUGGAGCCAUUUGAACCGUCUGAACAGUACGGUUGAUAUUCUGCUGAUCACGUUGGUCGUUCGCGGCCACAUACUGCACCAACAAGCCAUCUUUAAUCUUCUUCUCCACGAAAUCUUUUAAAUUGCAACACUCGUUAGUGUCAUGGCCCGCGGCUUGAUGAUAGCCACAAUACUUACGAGAGUUACCCUGUCCCGUUCUAUAAUUAUCACGAGGUGGCUCGAAGAAAGGCUGGUUUCUGAUAUGAUCUAAGAUCACUGAUCUAUCUGUGUUCAGUUUGGUGUAGACCUUAUUCACCUUCGGGGCUGAAACAGGGGGACGACUGCUUCCUUGCCGCCAGGAGUUAUUGUACUUCUUCGAACUGCCCUCUGGCCGAUCAUUAUACCCCCCGUUCUCCUUUGAUCAACUUCGGCCUUGGGAACUACUAUCUCCUUCAACUGGUCCGAAGAAGGAUGCUUCAGGCUGUUCAUAGCUUCUUCCACAACCAUAUAGCCUUCUGCAUUGUCAAAGGCUUCGGCCAAGCUCUUCGGAUGGUGGAACAUCAACUUCUUCACCAACUUCUCGGACUUUACCAGAUCCAGCCCAUUCUGGAACAAACCUACAGCCUGGAGGUCAUUGAGGUCGGACACCUGACCGACUGCUUCUCUGAACCUCUUUACAUACUGGCCCAAAGAUUCGCUGGUAAACUGCCGGAUCUGUGCCAGAGAACCUGUAGGCUUUCCUCUUCUUCAGUUACUCCCAAAACGGACAUGGAACUUAUCACAAAGCUCAGUCCAAGAGGAUAUCGAAUCUGACGGCAAAGUUCUCAUCCACUGCCUCGCAUCUUUUCUCAGUGUCGUAACAAAAGUGUGGCACUUGGCAGCAUCAGUGAAAUCAUAAUAGUCCAUUAACCGGUCGAACGCCUGGCUAUGGUCAUAAGGAUCCCCGGACCCAUCGUAACUUUUCAUGCGAGGCAAUUUUUUUGUGAUAUCUGCCUUCUCCUUGAGAAUAUCUGAGGAAAAAGGGGAUGCCUUCUUUCCCGGAGCGUCCUUCACCUGUUGGACCUCAGUCAGCUGCUUUCUGAGCUCUUUCAGCUCCUUCACCGAAAAAUCAACGCCUUCGGGCUGUGGGGAGACCUCUUUCUCGUGGACGACAUUCUGUUUCUGAGAGGAUCGACCUCCUCCUGCCGAUCCCACUGCCCUGGUGGGACUUCUUGAUCUACUCCGGUGUACAACUCUGUCCUUAUGAUGAGAAUGGUCACGUUGAUAGUCCCUUACUCUGAUUUCAGGCAUGAUCUCCCUCGACCUGCUCCUUUGUCUGUCGUCGUCUCGAUGCUGAGAGGCAACGACCAUUAGUGCCUUCUUCGAGGCCACGGGAGUUCUGCUCCUCGAUCUCCUCCUACUACGAGAACGAUCCCUAGAUACAUGCGCGGAAUGCUCCGGCUUCUUACCCUCUCGCCGUGGCAUCUCCUUAUGCCCACUCCGCCUUUCGGACUGAACAUGGCUAGAUGCUUCGUCCCUUAAUUUCGCCACCCGAAGCAUCUGUUCGGCUAUAUCUUCUCUCUGCUUCAACAGAACCUCCAAGGCUUUAUCUGCUUCGUCCGCCAUCUUCGCCAACUUGGCGGCUCUAUCUUCCUGACCACUUCUACGAUAAGUCUUGGUCGGUGAGCCUUCCGCCUGCCCUUGACCAUGAUCACGCUCCUUAUCCGCACCGAAAACCAAUCUUCGUCUGGCCCCACCAUGGAUCUUUGGACUGAGAUCUCCUGAAUUAUGCUUAGAGGUCGUGCUCUCGUGAGCACUUUUAGAAGGACCCAGACGAUCCUUUACCGAAACACGAGGCAGUGACGAGCUAACAGCCAUCGCCUGCCCUUCUGGCGUACCAUCCCUACUCCUCAUCAUCUUCCGAAGUAGGUUAAACGAUUGUGAUUGAAAGUUUCAAUGACACUAGAACUCAAAACCCCUCCUUCUAGCGCCAAUGUUAACGCCAAGAUCUUCUGCCACGUCCCAAUCACGUAAGACGCCCUGAUCCUGCACAGUAAACACGGUAAACACCACAAGCUUGACGGCUGUUCCAUCGGGGGAUAGCUCAGGCGUGAGAGUCAGUAUACGUGUUCACAAGGUUAACAAUGGAUGAAUGUAAUGUCUAGUGUCUAGAGAGAGAUCAUAAUUCCCUGUUGUGUGUAUGUGAGGAUAUGAAUAUGAAAGUGUAUGAGAACGUACCUCUUUGUGAAGACUUCCUUGCUAGGUUAUACUCUCUUUGCCUGGAUUACUGUGCCACCCACUAAGUGUAUGAGAACGUACCUCUUUGUGAAGACUUCCUUGCUAGGUUAUACUCUCUUUGCCUGGAUUACUGUGCCACCCACUACCAUCUGACACAACCCCCUGAUCUGAUGGGUUCUGCCGACUGUAUAUAGUCUAUCCACUACUUUUGGCCACUGUUUUCUACCGUCGGCCAGCUAUGAUCUCAUCCACAUUAAUGCAUAGCAAGAGUUUUAGUCAACCGUCAUGCUUUUUCAUCAUUGCAAGUCAAAGCAAUAGAUAUUAAAAUGUCUAAUGGGUCGAUCCAUUGAACCGACCCGGUCUUAUAGGUUAAAAAUGGAAAUAAUAUAAUGACUGGGCCCAGUGACUUUUACAGUUCAAUAAUAAAAGCCCAAUAAAUUAAUUAAAUGAGUAAGCCCAAUUUACCCGACCCAAAGAGAGAAAAUAUCAUAACCCAAGAUGCAUGAUUGAGUUGAGGCCGCUUUGAGCAUGCCAUUUGGGUUAUUUGUAUUCUAUUUUUCUCUCCUUACAAAAUUCACAAACAAGAAACUUUUUAUAUCUUUUAAAAAUAAAAUCACAAACAGCGUGUUUAUGAACAGAACACAACCCGCGCAAACAUCUUAUAAAAUAAUUUUAUAUAAUAAUAUUCUCAGAAAGGAAGAAGUCUCUUUUAGUAUUAUUAUUAUUCCCAGCAUAUCUUACUCCAAAACCAACUCACAAGCACGUGCUGCCUCAUAAGAAAAGCAAAUCUGACUGACAGGCAAGGCAAGGCUAGGCAGAAAAUAUAAUAGUUUGACCAAACACUUUCUCUCAGUCACCCAUAAGAGCCCCGAUAUGUGAAAAUAUUACUAGAUGAAUAAAAACACAUCCAUCCAUCCAUCCAUAUAAAUACUUGUAUUUUUAUCUCAUCACAAGAAUAUUGACAAACCACCUGAAUUAACAUCAAAAACACUAGCUGCAGAUUACAAAUAUAGACUGCAACCAUAAAGAAAACAUGGGGAUAAGCCAAGGGAACACCAUAAUUUACCUAUACAACCACAAUUCACUGCCACGCAAAUAAAUUCUGACAAAGGGUUAGCUGAACAUCAAUAUCCUCCAUUUCUUUCUUGCAGAGGGGAUAACGGACUAAGUCAGAAGCAUACCAAUUUAACCCACUGCCUUCAUCUCCAUUUUCAAUUACCUUUCAUUUCUUCCCUACUUGGGAAACACAGGAUGUGACAAUGGCAUGCUAGUUACAACUCUAUAAAUCAAUCACGUAACGGUUGAAAUAGAAAAUGACCCAACAAGACGAGGCCUAUGCAAUUAUUCCUUACUGCGGCAAUUGGGGUUCUCGUUAUUGGGUGCUGCGUGUUAAUCCGCCUCGUACUACAGUCCUGCAAAUAUAUAUACCGACUUGUUAUCUUUUCAAUACGUUCCAAAUAACCAUUGUUACAACAAAUGAGUUAGCUGCUGCUUGUUCUUCACCCAUUCUACAUUUAAGUAGCUCGGCUUACAAACUCUGGAGUCGGGACUAUAACGAACAGGAAGAAAGAAAAGAGCAUCUUGUAAUGGGAGGAUGACUUGGUAUGACGAGCAAAACAAAAAACAUUGUCUUGGUCUCUAGUUACACUAUCACACCAGUAUAACAAGUUAAAAUCACUGAAUCAAGAUUGAUGUUGCCUCAGCAGUCGGCACACACUAAAAAAGUUUAAGCUCAAGGAAGGAGAUAAAAAGAAACAGCGAUGGGGCGAAAUUGAAUUUUUACAACUCAAACUCCAAAAAACAACUGCAAACUAUUUUCAAGAAUGAGUAUAAAUUCAACAAAUUUCUUUUGUAAGGAAAAAAAGAAGAAGAAAUUUAUCAAAAAAUAGAGAUCAGGCUACAAAGGGUCCACCAGUCAUUAAGAAUGAAAAAGAAAAAAAGAAGCAACAAACGUGAAAUCAGAGAACAGCAUUGAGGUUAUGAUGUACAAGAAUAGUUGUCGCAUAAAAGGUAUUUGACCAAUAAAACCAUUGAAAACAUAAUUCAAAUUGAGAUUCAAAUCGUUUAACAAAGAGAAAUGAUCUAAAGAAUGAUAAGCAACGAACAGCAGCCCUCAAACGAAUAAAAAGUAAAUGAUCCGAGUCAUAUUGUUAUCACACUCAUAUAACUGGUACCAUUUUUGUACCUUAAAAAUUUAUACGCAACAAACUGUGUGUAUGCAUAUAUAUAUAUAUAUAUAGAGGCCGGAUCUGGUCCGGACUCCCGGACCGGACCAAAAUCCGGGCCUUUUUUUUUUGCUUUAUUUUUUUAAAACAACUAAAAAUAAAUAAAUAAAAAAUUAUGGAACUUGAAUUUUUACAUAAUACAAUGUUUUGGGUGUGAUUUGGAUACAUAUAACAAAACAUGUAUGUACAGUCUUUGCAGACUGUACAUACAUUUUUUUGUAUAAGUAUCCAAAUCACGCCUAAAACAUUGUAUUAUGAAAAAAAUUCAGUUCCAUAAAAUAUUAAAUAUUUUUUUUAGUUGUUUUUAAAAAAAAAGCAAAAAAAAUAAUAAUUCCGUAAGUUAAGAAAAUCCGGGAUCCCUGAUAGGAUCCUGGUUAUAUAUAUAUAUAUAUAUAUAUAUAGUAAAUGGGUCCCACACUUGUGUGAGAGGAAACUUGUGAAAAUAUCAAAUUUUACUUGUAGAAAUAUCAAUUUUCUAAAUUUUAUUUACAAGAUGAUUUUUUGUUAGCUUCUCAUUUUCUUUCUGAAACUUGUGGCUCAGGGCCGAUUGUUGUAUUGGGUUGGGUGAGAGGUGAGCUGAAAGAUCUCUGGAGUUACAGCUUGGAGGACACUUCGCCAUCUAGGAGACCAUCUGGAGAAGCUUGAUGCAUAAAUUUUUCGGCCUUACAAGUGUGAAAGGUUAUACCAAUACGCAGACUCCAUUAUCAGUGUAAAAAGAGUGCUUACCCCAUUAUAUCCUCAAAAAGAUUAGAAAUGUUAAUACAGGGGUUGGAAAUGAAAUACACUUUUUGAUUCCUUCAAAAAAAAAUCCCUAUUAAUUUAUUUAUUCAUAUAAGUAAUCUUGUAUAUAUGUUUUAUGUUCAAACCUUGCUGCUGAAUUAGCUUGAAAUAUUGUUGUAACAUAUUACAUAUCAAGCUCUGUAUCAAGCAAAAUCACAACUACAUUUACUUUAUACUCUUUUGCUACAUACACUAUCUGGAAGAAAAGCUAAAAUUUUAUAUCGAAUGUGGAUUGCUAUAUAAGCGAUUACAUAUAAUAGUAAUAUGUGAGUCAUUUCUUUACCUCGUGUCGAUAUUAAUUUGUCAAUCACGUAUUUAUCUCUCUCAAAUAUUUACUAAGAUAAAUAAAUUUUGAUUUUCCUACUUUUUAAUCCAUCUUUCCUUGUUGGGACAUCCCAAUAUGAGUCCAGUUUCAAGGUCAAUGUAAUGAUGCAAAAUGCCACUAAACACACACAAAUAUCAUAUAAACUUNNNNNNNNNNNNNNNNNNNNNNNNNNNNNNNNNNNNNNNNNNNNNNNNNNNNNNNNNNNNNNNNNNNNNNNNNNNNNNNNNNNNNNNNNNNNNNNNNNNNCCUGACAAGAUUCGCUGAGAUUAAAACUUGGACUACCAUUUAAAAGGAUUUUACCCCUGUCCAAUGAGCGUGUACCACCAUCAAAUGACUUUGAUGUCCCUUUUGCAUGCUUCAACAUGGUACUAGUGCCAGAUGAUCUCAGCUGAAAUGAUGGCGAUCUCCUAGGUAAAAAUCCAUUUGACGUCAAUUUGGAGAUGUUAUCUGCUCCACCAAGUGAUUGACGACGUGACGCACCAUU